UAGAUUUGACUUCCUUUCACAGCUCUGAGCCCACUCCUUGGUGGAAGGAACAAGUGAUCACACUUUCUCAUGGCCCAGUUGCCCUGUACAGAAUGAGGACAAACUCAGCUCCUUGGACAUAAGCUUUUGUAGUAUUCCUGAGCCUGGUUGGACACAAUGUAAGGUCUGUGUGGGGAAGAUCCCAAGGGAGGAAAGCUGGACAGUUUGCAGGUGCACCCAUGUUACCCAAGGAGGAAACCCCAACGCUGCCUUCUUUUAAAAUGCCAUGAAUAAUUAACUUACCAUAGAAAGUGCAUAUAAAGAACUAUCUCUAUCAGUAAAUAGGUUUCUUAAUUUCACAGGAGACUGAAACAAAUAUAGAUGCCUAGUUUUGGAAAUUUGCAUGCCUUUGGAAGUUUGAGAUUUUGUCCUGGGAGAUGAAUUUUCCUCGGUGGCUCCCAGUUGCCUGAACGCUCUUUUAGCAACUCAUCUCUGUCCUUUUCUUUUGACACACUUGCUGCUUGCCAUGUCCUGUCACUGUGAUACCAGAACAUUAUCUUGCCACCAAACCCCUUUUACUCAGGUAAUAUUGAUGUCAAAUUUCCCUUUGCUCUGAAUUUUCUUUCUCUUCUCCUCUUGCUGUUGUCAGGGAGCUGCUUUGUCAGAGCGGCUCCAGGCUAAGGUGCCAUGGAAGGACUGAAAGCUGCUGGGCUGGGCAGUGGGGAGAAACAGAGUGAGAGAAUGGAGAACCUCAAUCCCACCUAAUAAAAACACAGCUUUUUCUACCAUCAAGUUUCAUUCUCCUGAGAAAUGAAAAUCCUUUGUUGUUUUGGCUAAGUUUAAAACUCGAUUUUCUUUAUGAAAUCUGCCUUUGUUUUUCUGUGGUGGUUUUGGUUUGGUUUGGUUUUUGUUGGUGUUUUGGGG